rnacentral:SRP_RNA from 1 species
GCCGGGUGUGGUGGCUCACACCUGUAAUCCCACACUUUAGGAGGCUGAGGUGGGUGGAUCACCUGGGGUCAGGAGUUCCAGACCAGCCUGACCAACAUGGUGAAACCCUGUCUCUG